ACCUGACGUGGCCUGAAGAGACAGACAGUGGCUCUUGCUAGCUAAUUAUUGUCAGAUGGAUCGGCAGCCGACCAACGCUUCUGAAACUAUUGUUUUUGGCAAAUGUUCCUCAACAUUUUCCUGGGAGCUAUGGUGCAUUACUCACGAGUGACAGAACCAACGAGCUUCAUCUCCCAAGAGGCUGGUGCAUCUGUUUAAAGGAGCAGGCACUAGGCAGAGCAGCCCCCACCCCACCCUCCAUGGCAGAGUGCAGUGGGGGAAGAAGUUUUCAUAGAAAUGCUUUCUAUAAAGCAUUUUCAUAGAGAAAGCAGGUUCAUAUAGAAAGCACUGGCUGCUGGUUGGAGUGGAGAGAUUGAAGACCCUCAUCUAGGAUCAAGCAACCCCCAGAAAACAAUUUUAAACAUGUCCAUUCAGACAAAAGGAGUCCAAAACCAUAAGAUCCUCUCAGCAUCCUGAACUAAUGUCCAGCUGUUAUCUCGGGAUGGGAUUUCACCAUGUUGUCCAAGCUGGUUUUGAACUCCUGGGGUCAAGAAAUCCA
rnacentral:lncRNA from 1 species